GAUGAACGCUGGCGGCGUGCCUAAUACAUGCAAGUCGAGCGAACAGACGAGGAGCUUGCUCCUCUGACGUUAGCGGCGGACGGGUGAGUAACACGUGGAUAACCUACCUAUAAGACUGGGAUAACUUCGGGAAACCGGAGCUAAUACCGGAUAAUAUAUUGAACCGCAUGGUUCAAUAGUGAAAGACGGUUUUGCUGUCACUUAUAGAUGGAUCCGCGCCGCAUUAGCUAGUUGGUAAGGUAACGGCUUACCAAGGCAACGAUGCGUAGCCGACCUGAGAGGGUGAUCGGCCACAGUGGAAAUGAGACCCGGUCCAGAGUCCCAAGGGAGGCAGCAGUAGGGAAGCUUCCGAAAUGGGCGAAAGACUGAAGGAGCAACGCCGCGUGAGUGAUGAAGGUCUUCGGGUCGUAAAACUCUGUUAUUAGGGAAGAACAAAUGUGUAAGUAACUAUGCACGUCUUGACGGUACCUAAUCAGAAAGCCACGGCUAACUACGUG
rnacentral:rRNA from 1 species